GGCCAGGUAACACACACACACACACACACACACACAGUCCACACAGCAACACACACGGCCUACUGCAGCCAUGGCCAGGUAACACACA